UACGGAGGGGGCUAGCGUUGUUCGGAAUUACUGGGCGUAAAGCGCACGUAGGCAGCUUUGUAAGUUAGAGGUGAAAGCCCGGGGCUCAACUCCGGAAUUGCCUUUAAGACUGCAUCGCUAGAAUUGUGGAGAGGUAAGUGGAAUUCCGAGUGUAGAGGUGAAAUUCGUAGAUAUUCGGAAGAACACCAGUGGCGAAGGCGACUUACUGGACACAUAUUGACGCUGAGGUGCGAAAGCGUGGGGAGCAAACAGG
rnacentral:rRNA from 1 species